rnacentral:rRNA from 1 species
UGGGGAAUUUUGGACAAUGGGGGAAACCCUGAUCCAGCCAUCCCGCGUGUGCGAUGAAGGCCUUCGGGUUGUAAAGCACUUUUGGCAGGAAAGAAACGUCGCGGGUUAAUACCCCGCGAAACUGACGGUACCUGCAGAAUAAGCACCGGCUAACUACGUGCCAGCAGCCGCGGUAAUACGUAGGGUGCAAGCGUUAAUCGGAAUUACUGGGCGUAAAGCGUGCGCAGGCGGUUCGGAAAGAAAGAUGUGAAAUCCCAGAGCUUAACUUUGGAACUGCAUUUUUAACUACCGGGCUAGAGUGUGUCAGAGGGAGGUGGAAUUCCGCGUGUAGCAGUGAAAUGCGUAGAUAUGCGGAGGAACACCGAUGGCGAAGGCAGCCUCCUGGGAUAACACUGACGCUCAUGCACGAAAGCGUGGGGAGCAAACAGGAUUAGAUACCCUGGUAGUCCACGCCCUAAACGAUGUCAACUAGCUGUUGGGGCCUUCGGGCCUUGGUAGCGCAGCUAACGCGUGAAGUUGACCGCCUGGGGAGUACGGUCGCAAGAUUAAAACUC